CAGCAAUCUCCUGGCUCGGGCCACCGGCCAGGUUGUCUGUGAGGUGGCAGAGGGCAGAGUGGACACCAUCACCUGGAAGAAGGAUGGGCAGCCCCUUCUCCCAGACAGAGUUCCCCAGCUGUCCAGCAGCCGCAGUGUUCUGUACCUGAGGCCAGCCAAGAAGUCAGACUGUGGCUCCUACUCCUGCAAUGCCAGCAACGGGAUCAGCUGGCAAGAAACCUCCCUGGAGGUCACCAUUGAAGGUCUCACCUCCCAUUGCUCCUCCUGCCCUCCACCUUUCCCUGGGGAUGUCUCAGUGUUCCAUCCACUCCUUCAGCCUCUAUCCCCACGGUCUGGCCGCCCUCCCCAGGAGGCGGUGCCCACAGGAGCUGCCCAUUUUGGGAUGAUCAGCAGCAAUUCCCAGCCUCUGAUCCUGCCAUUGGCUGCUCCCUCUUGGGGCAGGUCCAAAUCUAUGGCCCUUGGCCAAGGUGAUGCUGAGCAGGACCUGGGCAGGAGGGUGGCUGGGAAGAUUUGAGGAGCACCCACCCCAGGCUGGACGUUGCAUGGAGCGUAUUUGGCCACCAGCUGGCAAAUAAAUGGAACCUGUCCUGGAGCCAGGGGGUUGGUCCUGCUGAUGUCCCGUCUCCUGCCCCUCGGGGUCGCUCUUUUCCAGGUCUCUCCCACCGUUUGAAGCACACCCUGAGGAUUGCUGUGAUCGCUGUGGUCUUUGCUGCUGUCUCAGCGUGGGGAUUAAUUAUUCCUGUCUGCCAGUCCGAAAAGCUCAGGAUAAGGGGGGAGCUCUGGAGGUGGCUUAGCUCCUACACCUGUGGGCUGGUGUGCAUCGCCUGCAUCCUGGAUGGCACCGCUGGCAUCCUCUGGAUGUGGGAGGAAGGUCAGAGGGGCUGUGGGGAGGUUUGGAGGGAGGAGGGACAAACCCCAUGGGAGAGUCCAGUGGGGUCCAGAGAGGAAGGCAGUGAGGGACAGGGGAGUCACACCAUGGAAUGUGGGGGACAGACCCAUCCAGAGAAAUACAUGAUCCAUGUGUGGUGUCCAUAUGUGAUCUCCAGGUCUGGAGGAGCUGGACCACCACGUGCAUUACACACCCCCCUGGACAAUUAAUGCAGUUAUUCCCCUUUUCCCAGAGCCCUUUCCCAGGAUGAGUCCCAGCAG
rnacentral:lncRNA from 1 species